CCAGGACGCACCACGCAAGUUCCAGCUGACGUCCUGGCGAAUCGAAGUGGGGAGCAGAUGAAGCAGUCGAGCGUGGUAAACAGCCCUCAUGGAUUUAGAUCGGCCCUCGUCGUUCGACGGUCCAUCACGUUUAGUUCGUCUUAAUAUUGAUAUUUGAGAUUAUGAAGAUUGGAAUUUCGUGAGAUUCUGAUUGGAAAACAAAAUGGGAUUAAAUCUGGAUAUCUUUUAUAAUCCUUUGGCUAAUAUGGCACCUAUAAAUACAUAUUGAAAAGAUAUUAAAGAUGGAGAUUUAUGCUUUGCAUACAGUAAUUACUAUUAUAUUAGAAUUUAUUUAUUUUUUAUUUCCAAACGAGUUUCAAAGAGUUUCUUAAAGAUUAAAGAAGAUUAAUUAUCUCAAAUUAUUCAAAAUAAAUAAAAAAGAUUAUGCACUAUUAUUCAACGAAAUUUUAUUUUGAUAAGAAAAUGGAAUAAUAAUUUCAAGCAAAUAGGAAAUGCAUGAUAAUUGAUGAUAGUUAAUAUCCUAGAAAUAGACUCUUAGAAAAAUAUCCCAUCAUUUCGACAAUGCACAUGUGCACGUUCAAAGGAUCAACUCGAUUGUUGACGACGAAUUCGCUAUCCCUCUAAAUCAGCUGGAGGAAGAGGGAAUCAAAGCGCCAGGAAGGGAGAAUCAUCGAGACAGGAAAGAAGGGAAAUAUAGGCAUUGAGAAGAGUUCAAGCGAGAGAAAACAACGAGCAAUCGACCAAUCAUGCGACAUUGAAUGAACUCGUCUCUGACUUCGACAUGUCUUACUUCCUACCCUUGGCACAACUACCCCAUCAUAAUCACCCUUUUAUCUCUUUCUUUCUUUAUUUAUCUGUUUUAGAGAGAUUUUGAAUCAUGUCGACCAUGAUCAUAAUAAUUAGCAUUUAAUUGUAAUUAUUACAAGAUUUUAAAGUAUGAUAAUGAUUUAUCUGAUGAUACAACGUUGCUUGUGAAAUGCUUAGUAUAUUUUUUUUACUUGAUAUUCGCACGGAUUUAAUUUUUGAUAAAUUAAGAUAACAAAUAUGCGGUUAUUGUCUUUUAAGAAUUUAGAUUUUUUUCAAAUCUAAAAUUCUAUUUUACAAAAUAUAAUUUAUUCUAUAUUCACUUAUUAAAAUUAAUUUUUCCAUUUUUUGAAUUUAAAAACAAGUAUUAACGAGUCAAUUCUUUCGAAUUGUGAAAAAAGGAAGGUGAUUUGACUUUGAUCAUCGAGAUUAUAGGACUUCGAUAAAGGGAUAUCAACCGGCAGAUUACACAAAAAAAAAAAAAGUCGAGAUGUGGAAAUAAAAAGCGGUUGGCAUCUGUUUCACGCGCAUGCUAGCCUCGCUCGUGACGUCAGAGGGUGAAAAAUCAAUCCACCCUUGUACAGUGCGGCAAGAUAGGAUUGUAUAUCUGGCGGCCACAGUCGCCAUCAUUAAAUUAACCGAAUUAAUUGUACUUGUCUAAUCGAUCGCCCUUGGGCCAAUUUUCAGUUUUAGAAUUCUAACGAUCGAUGAUGUUUCGAAGAUUUUUCUUGGAUUUCUUGGAAUGAACUUUUAAAAGGAAGAUGCAGAAAUGAUUACGUAUUGAAAUAUUUGACAGUAUAAAGAAUUUGUUAAAUAUUGUAAAGAGACGAUGAUAGAGAAUCUUAAUAUAGAAAGGAUAACUGCUUAAACUAGAAAAGGAAAAAGAAAAAAUGGAUAACUUAAUUGUUACUUGAUGCAAUGUGGCAAAAAGAUUUCCAAGUAUGAAGGAUUGAAAUAGUAUUUCUGCUUACAUUUGUAAAUUCAUUUUAUGAAAGUUCUGCAAUGAAAUUGGCAAAGAGUCUGGGAACUAUGGUUACAUAAUAGUUAUGAAUGAAUUUCAUUGUAAUUCCAAUAUUGAAGUUAUUUUGGGAAAUACCAUUAAAAGUUAAGAACCCAAAUUGCUUUUGAAACUAUACUAUACUCUGAAGAUUGUAAUAUUUGAAUAUGUAGAUUAUAUAUUUUAUAGACUAUAAUCAAAUUUUCAUUUUUUGAAAAUUUAUUUUAAAAAUCUUGUUUAUUUGAUUUGCUUCAAGAAAUUGCUUGCAAUAUUAUAAAAAUUGAAAUUAAAAUUGAACGUGACUGUGCAUAGAUAAAGAAAACAUGAGACAUUUCGUUAUGCAAUCCAUUCAAAUAGUACUAUUUAAUCGAUUAAUUAAUUGUUCGUUCCAGCUCGUUAAGACAUACACCCAUGUAAUUGGAAUAGUGCUUAUAUAAUGCAUUACAUCAAAAACUUAAGAAAAUUAUUUAAUGCAUAAAAUUCAAAUUGCGUGAUAGCUUGAAAACGGCAAGGAAAAUAUAUUCCAGUGAAUUUUAUUAAUGCUUUAUUCCAUUUCAAUCGCAAUGCAUCUUCUGCGUAGUAAUUGAAUUGAAACGCUGACGUCGAAUGUUCUCCAAUGACUUGGAGAUGUUGCGCCUUCUUGCGUAUUUUUAUGCAUCUUAUAUUUUCUUUUUGUUAGAAGGAACAGAAUAAAUCUAACAGAACUUAAGAUGAUAUUUUCAAUGUUCUGUAUUGGUGAAACGCUUACCUGUUAUCCACGUAUACGACACAAGAAAAAUGGAAUUUUUUCUGCGUUCCUCGCGAACGACGCUGCACCUCCGCAUGAUAAUUGAUAACAACUGUUUUUCCUUUGUGCCGACUUAUAGCUGUCGUCGAUCUUACACUCUUAUGUCUGACGCGAUUCACGACUACGAGCAAACAAUCCGCAAGAUUACAGCCGAAAGGGAUUUCUGCAUUGCUGUUGUGCCUCAACUUGGGCUACCAUUAGCUCAUCAAGUCCGUUAAACGAACACGAAAGAAGACAGACACUGAGGUGGACUUAAGUGUUUGAAGUUGAUUGUUAAGUAACAGUUUAAAUUGUGUAUAGGACUGAUAAACGCAACAACUUGGAACACGUUGCAAUGCGUGUAUAUCUAACUGAAUAAAUAUUUUUAGGGAUAUAAGAUAAUUGAAAAUGAACUUCGAAUUGCGAUGGAAAAAAUCAAGAGAGAUUUUUUUUUAAGAAAGUUGCCUUUUUAAGAGUCAUAAAUAAAUUUAUAAUAAUUAUGAAUGAAAACGAUUUUUUCUGAUAGAAAUUAAAAUGCGAAUGAAAUGAAAAGAUUAUGAUAAGAUUAACUGAGAAGUGAUUUCUGCAUUGCACAAAGAAUUUCAGAUACAAUGUGAGAAGAUUAUGAAUAUGUGUGUGUGUGAGAUUGAAAAA
rnacentral:lncRNA from 11 species